AUUGAACGCUGGCGGCAUGCCUUACACAUGCAAGUCGAACGGUAACAGGUCUUCGGAUGCUGACGAGUGGCGAACGGGUGAGUAAUACAUCGGAACGUGCCUAGUAGUGGGGGAUAACUACUCGAAAGAGUGGCUAAUACCGCAUGAGAUCUACGGAUGAAAGCAGGGGAUCGCAAGACCUUGUGCUACUAGAGCGGCCGAUGGCAGAUUAGGUAGUUGGUGGGAUAAAAGCUGACCAAGCCGACGAUCUGUAGCUGGUCUGAGAGGACGAUCAGCCACACUGGGACUGGGAAACGGCCCAGACUCCGACGGGGGGCAGCAGUGGGGAAUAUUGGACAAUGGGCGCAAGCCUGAUCCAGCAAUGCCGCGUGCAGGAUGAAGGCCUUCGGGUUGUAAACUGCUUUUGUACGGAACGAAAAGCCCCGGGUUAAUACCCUGGGGUCAUGACGGUACCGUAAGAAUAAGCACCGGCUAACUACGUGCCAGCAGCCGCCGCCG
rnacentral:rRNA from 1 species